rnacentral:tRNA from 1 species
GCAGCGGUCUCCAAAACCGCAG